GUCCCUACGGGGGGCAGCAGUGAGGAAUAUUGGUCAAUGGGCUUACGCCUGAACCAGCCAAGUCGCGUGAGGGAAGACUGCCCUAUGGGUUGUAAACCUCUUUUGUCAGGGAGCAACGCCGGCUACGUGUAGCCGGACUGAGAGUACCUGAAGAAAAAGCAUCGGCUAACUCCGUGCCAGCAGCCGCGGUAAUACGUAGGUGGCAAGCGUUGUCCGGAUUUACUGGGUGUAAAGGGCGAGCAGCCGGAGAGGCAAGUCAGAUGUGAAAGCCGCGGGCUCAACCCGCGCACGGCAU
rnacentral:rRNA from 1 species